UACGUAGGGUGCGAGCGUUGUCCGGAAUUACUGGGCGUAAAGAGCUCGUAGGUGGUUUGUCGCGUUUGUCCGUGAAAACUCACAGCUUAACUGUGGGCGUGCGGGCGAUACGGGCAGACUGGAGUACUGCAGGGGAGACUGGAAUUCCUGGUGUAGCGGUGGAAUGCGCAGAUAUCAGGAGGAACACCGGUGGCGAAGGCGGGUCUCUGGGCAGUAACUGACGCUGGAGGAGCGAAAGCCGUGGGGAGCGAAACAGG
rnacentral:rRNA from 1 species